GGCGCGACUGGUCGUUCUAUCAUCAGUUCAGCCUGAUGGCAAAGACUAACUUGUUAUUUGUUUAGUAAUUUCAAAUGUAUCAUUUGAAGGGGCGGCUGUUAAAAAUCAAGUUCCCACCUGACUUGCCUCAUUCAUGGACUGUCAAUCACCACUAAAACCACGCCCCUAUCCACUCUAUAUAACUCCUCCCUUCAGGCCUGUGGCCCUCUUUUCCCUCCAAACAAAACUAGGCAGAACAAAGAAAGGAGUGAUAUUUCAGGGUGACAUCCUGCUUAACGUUAAGAGAAAACCGUAGUACAGAUUGUGGAUGCAGUGCAGACUGUGGAUGCAUUACUGAUACAAAAUCAUCCAUUCAUCCAUGCAUCCAUUCAUCCAAUUACCUGCCACCAGUGUAAACCUUUCCCUGCCUUGAUAACAAUAAAACCUUGGAACGGCACUGGAUCCUGUGUUUAAAUGUGCACACCACAUUAGAUGUUCAGUGAACCAACACCAUCAGCGAAUAAGAGUU